rnacentral:lncRNA from 1 species
AUUAUGGUACAGUUAUAUGUCACUCUUGUGUCAGAUGAAAUAGAUAGAGAAAAUGUUACUUUUUGCCCCUCGGGGCACAUCCGAGUUGGUGGAACAAUUGCAUUGGUGGGCUCGCAUUCCCAGCGUGGAGAGUUCGAUUACUGGAAGGCAGCAGUCUUGGAAGGGGGAUUUAUCUCGAAGGCAAGACAUACUGGAAGGCAGUGAGGAGAGCUCUCUUGGGGCCAGGAGUAUAAGCAGUGCAGGAACCUGGAAGCCAACAAGGGUACAACCCGCGAUUUACCUCCUCGAGUCGUUGAGGGGCCGGUGGCUAGAGGUCCAAGAAUUAGUCUGGCUAAGCUGGG